UGUCUCGUCCCUUCUGCCAGCGAUACUCUCCUGGCCUUAAUUGGUUGGGUCGUGCCUCCGACGCUGCUACUUUGAAGAAAUUAGAGUGCUCAAAACAAGCCUACGCUCUAGAUAACAUCAUAGGAUUUCGAUCCUAUUGCAUUGGCCUUCGGGAUCGGAGUAGUGAUUAGCAGGGACAGUCGGGGGCAUUCAUAUUUUAUAGUCAGAGGUGAAAUUCUGAAAUUUAUAAAAGAUGAACAAUUGCGAAAGCAUUUUCCAAGGAUGUUUUCAUUAAUCAAGAACGAAAGUUGGGGGCUUGAAGACGAUCAGAUACUGUCCUAGUCUCAGCCAUAAACGAUGCUGACCAGGGAUCACCGAAUGUUACUUUUAGGACUCCGCUGGAACCUUAUGAGAAAUCAAAGUUUUUGGGUUUUAGGGGGAGUAUGGUCGCAAGGCUGAAACUUUAAGGAAUUGAUGGAAGGGCACCACCAGGAGUGGAGCCUGCGGCUUAAUUUAGCUUAACACGAGGAAACUUACCAGGUUCAGACAUAGUAAGGAUUGACAGACUGAGAGCACUUUCUUAAUUCUAUGGGUGGUGGUGCAUGGUCGUUCUUAGUUGGUAGAGCAAUUUGUCUGGUUAAUUCUGUUAACGAACAAGACCUCAGCCUGCUAACUAGCUAUGUGGAGUUAUCCCUCCAUAGCUAGCUUCUUAGAAGGACUGUGGCCCUUUAGGCCAUAGAAGUUUGAGGCAAUAACAGGUCUGUAAUGCCCUUAGAUGUUUUGGGCCACACACGUACUAUAUUGAUGUAUUUAACAAGUCUAUAGCCUUGGCCGACAGGCCCGGGUAAUGUUUGAAAUUUCAUCGUGAUGGGGAUAGAUCAUUGUAAUUGUUGGUCUUCAACGAGGAAUUCCUAGUAAGUGUGAGUCAUCAGCUCGCGUUGACUAUGUCCCUGCCCUUUGUACACACCACCUGUCGCUCCUAUCGAUUGAAUGGUUCGGUGAAGUGUUCGGAUCUCGGCGAUGUGGGUCGUUUGCUGCCGGCGACAUCAUGAGAAGUCUAUUGAACCUUAUCAUUUA
rnacentral:rRNA from 1 species